rnacentral:rRNA from 1 species
CACCGCGGUUAUACGAGAGGCCCAAGUUGAUAGACGCCGGCGUAAAGAGUGGUUAAGAUAAGUUGAAGACUAAAGCCGAACACCCUCAGAGCUGUUAUACGCACCCGGAGGUAAGAAGCCCAAUCACGAAAGUGGCUUUAUUCCACCUGAACCCACGAAAGCUAUGAUA